CCUCGGAUUUUAAUUCCAGUUGAAAUGAAAACGAGAUGAGUUUGUUGCAUCAUUUGAUACACUUCUGGAAGACAGCAGAUACUUGUAAUGUAGAAGGUGUUAUCAAAAAUGGGGAGAAAAUACAAUAGUGAUGGAGGUUUCCAGAGAUGCUAGGGCUGGGCCUGUGCUUCUAAAGUCUGUAACAGUAAGGCAGAACAGUUAUGUUCCUCUGGAAAAGGCUUUGCUAUGGAAAGUAGCAGUUUGGGCCAACUAAACAUUGCUUUUGGAGGACCAAACAGGCCUGAAAUGCACCUCUCGAGGCCAAAGAAUGGAAAAAUUGAUGGAGUGCAUUAAGCUGUUUCCAGGAUGUCAGAGGGGUCUUUGAUAGAGCUGAUCAUCCUAGCUCUGCAGUGACAACACAGAUGACAGAUGAUACUCAGAGGAGCCCCUUAUUCAUCUCCAGCUGCAGCAACUCCACCGCAGUCACGCUGUGUGUGUGGCUGCAGCUGCACGCCCAGCACAGCCCCAGGAAUGCUACCUCCGGAGACAAAUCAUCUCCUUUUCCUGGGUGGUGGAAGGAUGCUUUGGUGCAGAGAAGUGUGUUGCUGACCAGACCUCCUCCAGAAUCUGACCGGCAUCCCAGAGAUGCUUAUAAAGAACGUACAUGGGAGAACCAAGUUUGAGUUUCUCAUACAUCCAAAAUCUUACUGAAGUUGAAGGAUUGGUCUGAACUUGAAGAAGGAUUCUGAAACAUGUUUAUUUUCAGAGAUCAUCCUGUGCACCCUGCAAGCCAACUGAAUUCAAACCCUAGAAGAUCUCUAUAAGAACUAGUUAAGCUGCUUAUAAAGGUUUUAGUUUUGCUCUUCUCUUCCUGUAAGUUUUUUAUGAAGCAUGAGAGCAGAUGGUUUACAGUCGAAGAGCAAUAAAUCUGAGAAUAAAGAAGAAAUAAUUCA
rnacentral:lncRNA from 1 species